CGAACUUGCAGAGAUGCUUUGGUGCCUUCGGGAACUCUGAGACAGGUGCUGCAUGGCUGUCGUCAGCUCGUGUUGUGAAAUGUUGGGUUAAGUCCCGCAACGAGCGCAACCCUUAUCCUUUGUUGCCAGCGGUUCGGCCGGGAACUCAAAGGAGACUGCCAGUGAUAAACUGGAGGAAGGUGGGGAUGACGUCAAGUCAUCAUGGCCCUUACGAGUAGGGCUACACACGUGCUACAAUGGCAUAUACAAAGAGAAGCGACCUCGCGAGAGCAAGCGGACCUCAUAAAGUGCGUCGUAGUCCGGAUUGGAGUCUGCAACUCGACUCCGUGAAGUCGGAAUCGCUAGUAAUCGUGGAUCAGAAUGCCACGGUGAAUACGUUCCCGGGUCUUGUAACACACCGA
rnacentral:rRNA from 1 species